AUUUGUAGCCGUAAUGAGAGAAAAACAAUGGAAGAAAGCAAAGGAAGAGUGUGUGUAACAGGAGGAACAGGUUUCAUCGGUUCAUGGAUUAUCAAGACCCUCCUUCAAGACGGUUACUCUGUUAACACCACUGUUAGACACAAUCCAGUGGGGAGCAAAGAACACCCGUGAAUUCCCUCUUGUGUUUGGCACCAUGCAAGCUUGGAAGAUAAAAGGAGUUGAAGGGUUCUGCACUGGGAGAGUUUCUGCACUGGAAGGGGAAGAAUCCUUGCUACCUUGCUGCCAUUUUUGUGAGAGAAAGAGAAGUUCAAAGCUUGGUGGAAUUACUUGGAGCUGCAAGUUUUGGAAGAGUUAGACUCAAAAUUCACAAAGGAAGUCUUCAAGAGGUGGGUUUCUGAGCGUUCGUUCAUAUAUAGUGGAUUAACGAGCGUUGGUUAUAAGGAUUUGAGUAGAGAGCGUCUGUGUGCGCCUGUAAACGUUCGUUCAUUCCAGACUGAGCACGGUGGCAACAACUUGGCGGUUUGGGUGGAAGGUUUCCGAGGAAGAUGAUGACGGUGUUGGACUGGUCACGGUGGAGAGUUACAGUGGUGCAAUGGUGAUGAAGGAGCUAGACGGUAGUAUUGAGGAUGGCAAUGGUGGCUGAGGGGGCUUGGGAUGAUGACGGCUGUGACUCAAAGAUGGGUUCCUGGUGGUCCCGUGGAGGUGCAACCUGGUGGCUGAUGAGUGAAGUGGUCACGGUAUUUGGCGGGGGUCAGAGGUGGUGAUUGAAGGAUUAUGCCGUGAAAAUGGAUAAUGAUGUUGGUGGUGGAGUUCGGUUUGAAUAUGCCCACGUGACCUUGCUGGAGAUUCCGUUUCAUACCGAACGCUCACAAUCAGUAACACAGAACCAAGAGCGAGCGUUAAAAGCAUAUGCAAGACCAUACAUGACGAACGUUCGUCCUUAUGCGCAACACCAUACAUGACGAACGUUCGUCCUUAUGCGCAACACCAUACAUGACGAACGAUAUCAUAAAGAGACCGAACGCUCAAUUACACAACCAAGACCAAACGUCCAGAUGAAGAGCGAACGUUCAUUAAAACAAAAUAACCGAACGCUCUCAGUUAAUGAAGAACGAAUGAUAAACCUGCAUGGCCGAACGGUAGAACGCUUAAGACUUAAACAAAAAAUAAGACCGAACGGUGACCAUGGACGCCCGCCAAACUCAGAACAAAGCCAUAACAAGAACGAACGCAUUGUGUAAACAUGUAAUCAUUUAGAUAGCCUGAUGAGACUCUAUGUCAUGCGACUUGUUUUGAUUCACUGUAUCUUUACUGUGUGGACGCUCGUCCAGAGAGCGAAGAUCGCUCGCCCAGCUAGCGGAGAACGCUCGCACAGACGCUUGUCGCCCAGAGGGGACGCUCAUCCAGCGCGCAGCGGACGCUCGUCAAGCGCGCAGAGGAGGCUCGUCCAGCAAGUGGACGCUCGUCCAGUAAGUGGACGCUCGUCCAGAGAGAGGAGAUCGCUCGCCCAGCUAGCGGAGAACGCUGGCCGAGCCCGAGGACGCUCGUCCAGACGCUUGUCGCCCAGAGGGGACGCUCGUCCAGCGCGCAGAGAGGAGGCUCGUCCAGCGCGCAGAGGACGCUCGUCCUAUCAACCAUUUACAGCAGAUAUGUGGUGUGCUACGACUGUCUUAAUUUUUGUGAUUGGAAUUGUUAUAUGAAUUCUUGAACACCGAGUCAAUAGUGACUUUCGUGGUCCUCCUAAGAAGCAAAUUGUAAUUAUUAUGUUAAUGUACGCUUUUGUAGCGUCAUAUGAUAACCUUUUACGGCCAGUUUAUUGAAUUUGGUGCAGCAAUAGGUGCCCCAAUGUUCAUCUUUUGUUUAAGAUUGUAAAUCCAUUUAACGAGUUAUUGAUGAUUUGAAUUAAUGCAGUAUAGACUAGGAAGUAUUGCGGUUCAGUCAUAGAUGACACACGAAAAAAAGGGGGGGUUUUUUUUGGAUUGUUUUGCAAGGAAAAUUAAAUUAAUUAAAAGUUGAAAGUUAAAAACAAUUGACAAAAGACCGAACGAUCCAAAGCAUAGAACGAAAGGUUGAAGUAUAAAUUGCACAGAAGUAAAAACCGAGCUGUAAUAACAUUGAGAGCAUGUUAUCUCACCCAAGUUGCUCACCUCAUAAACAUUGUUUUUUUCCUCCAUCAUGGGGUGCCAAAACAUCACUUCCCACCACUAAAACACCAGGACCAGCCUAAGACAAGAUCAAAAGUGCCUAAAAGUCACUUCUUUUUCCAAUGGUGACCCCUGUUCACCUGACUGAGUACCUGUGUUGGACUUUCUGUACAAAAUCCAAUUUUCUCUCGGGUAAUCGUUUACAGUGUCCUGGUAAUCGAUUACAGUGUCAAAGAAGGUGUAAACUUGAUUUCUAAGGCAUAAUUUGAAAGGUCUUUGAGUAUAGAUUCCAACAAAACAAGAAUCAACUCAUUUGGAGUUCGGUGGAGAAAGAUAUGAGCAAAAGAACAAGCAAAGGUCAGAGUUGGCAAAAAUAUAUGAAACGCUAACUUGAAACAAUAAACUGUACCAACUCAGAUGUCCAAAAAUUACAAAUUAGUAGUCAUUGGAAAGAUGUUCGAGUCUAGUUUCUAAUAAAAAAAGAAUCACAUCAUUUGGAGGUCGGUGUGAAACGUUAUCAGUAAAAUAGCCAGCAAAGGUCAAAGUUGACAGCAUGUUAUCUCACCCAAGUUGCUCAUCUCAUAAACAUUGUUUCUUUCCUCCAUCAUGGGGUGCCAAAACAUCACUUUCCUCCAUCAUUGGGACAUAAUCACAUCACUAACCUCCCUCUCCCACCACUGAAACACAUGGAAUAGCCUAAGACAAGUGCAAAAGUGCCUAAAAGUCACUUUUUUGUCCAAUGGUGACCUGUGUUCACCUGACUGAGUACCUGUGUUGGAGUUUCUGUACAAAUUGGCAAUUCCUCUCGGGUAAUCGUUUACAGGGGUCCUGUAAACGAUUACCAGCCCAUUUUUUCAGCAGUCUCACUCAUUCCUUGCAAAGCUUGCUCCUCCAACUCAUGAGGGGUCUCCCCACCCUCCUUGGACUCACAUCACAUCACCACCCACCCUCUCCCACCACUGCAACA